rnacentral:tRNA from 1 species
GGGGUUGUGGCUCAGAAGUGGAGCAUCUGCUUGGAAUGGAGAAGGUUUUAGGUUCAAUCUCUGGCAUCUUCA